rnacentral:rRNA from 1 species
GCGGAGCGCCGCGUGAGUGAGGAAGGUCUUCGGAUUGUAUAAACUCUGUUGUCAGGGAAGUAACCGCCGGGAUGACCUCCCGGUCUGACGGUACCUGACGAGAAAGCCCCGGCUUAACUACGUGCCAGCAGCCGCGGUAAUACGUAGGGGGCAAGCGUUGUCCGGAAUUAUUGGGCGUAAAGCGCGCGCAGGCGGCUUCUUAAGUCAGGUGUGAAAGCCCACGGCUCAACCGUGGAGGGCCAUCUGAAACUGGGGAGCUUGAGUGCAGGAGAGGAGAGCGGAAUUCCACGUGUAGCGGUGAAAUGCGUAGAGAUGUGGAGGAACACCAGUGGCGAAGGCGGCUCUCUGGCCUGUAACUGACGCUGAGGCGCGAAAGCGUGGGGAGCAAACAGGAUUAGAUACCCUGGUAGUCCACGCCGUAAACGAUGAGUGCUAGGUGUUGGGGAGUCCACCUCCUCAGUGCCGCAGCUAACAGCAAUAAGCACUCCGCCUGGGGAGUA